GGCUGAUCCCAGGAGAGUUUGCUGCCACAGUCUCUCACUGCGGAGCUGCUGUUCCCAGCACUGCUGAGAGCUACUGUCACCUCAGCACUAGUAUCUAUAACUGAUGUUAGAGAAGAAGGUAUUUAUGAAGAUAUGCAUAGCAUAAACCCACAUCAAGUCAGAGAAUCUCCAUAUGCUAUUGAGAGGUCCAUCAGAGCCUACAAUAUCUCUGAGGAUGGAUCAGUGGAGAGAAAAAGAGUACUGACUAGCUGUAUCUUUGGAGAAUACCACUACAGAGGACCUGGUUAAACACAAUGCUCUGUGGCUCAGAAACUGAAUUUGGCAAGGUUGGAAAGGAAGUACAUUGAGCACCAGGAAAACAUUGAAGAUGCCAGGACAAAUGCCAGGUGCAAAUGUUUCUAUGCUCCCCCUAUCAUCUCCAUCCCUGAGGUUAUCGCAGAUU